GAUUUCCUGGAAUGUUCGACAACUCUUGUUAUUUUGAACCUACAUCAGUUUAAACGGGAUUCUUAUAUUGCUACAGUUGAUGUCAGGCCUCAUAAGAUCGGAGGAAGGCAGAGAUGUAGUUGCGGUUACCCACCUAGCAUUAGCUAGGAGUCAAAAUACAAGAACCGGCAUUUUGGGAUAUCC
rnacentral:other from 1 species